CUGGACACCGCAGCUGUAGAGUACAGCGGACAGCCGGACCUGAAGAACUACACCAGCACCACGUCUGUACUGUACCUGCAGUUUACAAGUGAUGGGAGUGUAACCGACAGCGGCUUCUGGAUCGACUAUAGCUCGGCCUGCUGCAGUGACCCAGGAGCUCCACUCAAUGGCAACAGAGCAGGAGACAGCUUCAGCCCAGGUGACGUCGUGGUGUUCUCCUGUGACGACGGAUUUGAGUUGAUUGGGGAGAGUAACGCCACCUGUCGAGAGGCGAACAACAGUGCCGCAUACUACUG